UACGAAGGGAGCUAGCGUUGUUCGGAAUCACUGGGCGUAAAGCGCACGUAGGCGGUUGUGUCAGUCAGGGGUGAAAUCCCGGAGCUCAACUUCGGAACUGCCUUUGAUACUGAGAGUCUUGAGUCCGGGAGAGGUGAGUGGAACUGCGAGUGUAGAGGUGAAAUUCGUAGAUAUUCGCAAGAACACCAGUGGCGAAGGCGGCUCACUGGCCCGGUACUGACGCUGAGGUGCGAAAGCGUGGGGAGCAAACAGG
rnacentral:rRNA from 1 species